CCUACGUGAGGCAGCAGUGAGGAAUAUUGGUCAAUGGGCGUAAGCCUGAACCAGCCAAGUCGCGUGAGGGAUGACGGUUCUAUGGAUCGUAAACCUCUUUUAUAAGGGAGUAAAGUGCGGGACGUGUCCCGUUUUGUAUGUACCUUCUGAAUAAGGCUCGGCUAACUCCGUGCUAGCAGCCGCGGUAAUACGGAGGAUCCGAGCGUUAUCCGGAUUUAUUGGGUUUAAAGGGUGCGCAGGCGGCGUUUUAAGUCAGCAGUGAAAGUAUGUGGCUGAACCAUAGAAUUGCCGUUGAAACUGGGAGGCUUGAGUAUGUGUGAGGCAGGCGGAAUGCGUGGUGUAGCGGUGAAAUGCUGAGAUAUCACGCAGAACCCCGAUUGCGAAGGCAGCCUGCCAAGCCAUGACUGACGCUGAUGCACGAAAGCGUGGGGAUCAAACAGGAUUAGAUACCCUGGUAGUC
rnacentral:rRNA from 1 species